AUCAUAUUUGCCAAAAACGCAAUAUUGUAAUUCAGCCAACAACGAAAGGGAUUUGAGUUUAUUGAAGAGAGAGAAAAGGGCUGCCUAAUUAAUCAAAUCCCUAGCCCAUUCUUCAAUCUGUUGCUGCACAGAAUUGGAAACGCUAGAACCCAAAAUUUUCUUGUGUUGCUGCGAAGGGGACUCUCGUUUCUGUGUUUUCUUUCUUCAUUCGAACCAGUGACAGUGAGUCCAUUCGUCCAUUGCAGGCCAGAGUGUUCUGCCUUAAUUGUCCAAAACUAUUGAGGAAUCUCAAAAGAAUACUGAUUGGUUUAUGGCAGUGUUGCAAGCAAAUUGGGCAAGCUUUGGGCACACUCUGUUGAAAGACGAGUAAAAAAAAAAGUUCAUGAAACACAGAGAAUAAAAGCAAAAAUACCCAUCAGUGAUAUUGUACAUUGAUCAUACAUUUUGGUGGUGACUAUGGCAAGUGGGCAAGUGACAAAGCGAGUGAAAUACAAGACCUCAGUGAAGGACCCUGGCACUCCUGGUCGUCUUUUAUUGACUAUGGAGAAAUUAGCAUUCAGGCCUAAUAAUCCUAACUCAGCUUCAAAGUUUGACAUGGAGUUUAGAUACAUUAAAAAUCACAAAUACACCAAGGAGGGGUCCAAUAAAGCACCAAUGCUUAAUCUUACCUCAAAUCAGGGUGUAAGUUACAUAUUUGAGUUUGAAAAUUACAACGAUCUCCAAGUUUGCAAAGAAUUUGUGGGAAAAGCCCUUUCCAAGUCUGGAGAAACUCCAAAACCUGCUGAUACUUCACAAUCCCUUUCUGAACAACCCAGUACCGAAGAACUGCUUCUUCGAAUGAACUUGCUGCGAGAAAAUAGUGAGUUGCAGAAACUUCAUAAGCGGUUUGUGAGUGAUGGUGUGUUGACAGAUGCUGAAUUUUGGGCAACAAGGAAGAAGUUGCUCAGUGGGGACUUAAGUAGAAAAUCAAAGCAACGAGUGGGUCUUAAAAGUGUUAUGCUUUCAGACUCCAAGCCACUGAUUGAUGGACGGACAAACAAGGUUACAUUUAAUUUGACACCAGAGAUCGUACGUGAGAUUUUUGCAGAGAAACCAGCUGUUCACCAGGCAUACUUGAAUGUAGUUCCUAACAAGAUGACAGACAAGGACUUCUGGACCAAAUAUUGUAGAGCUGAAUACCUCCAUCAUUCAAAAAAUGCUCAUGCUGCAGCCGCGGAGGCUGCUGAAGAUGAGGAACUAGCUCUUUUUCUGAAACCUGAUGAUAUUUUGGCCAGUGAAACUCGGCGGAAGAUUAGAUGUGUUGAUCCAACUCUAGACAUGGAAGCUGACCAGGGGGAUGAUUAUACACAUCUUCCAGAUCAUGGAAUUGUUCGUGAUGGUAGCAAGGAGAUAACAGAUUCACAGAAUGAGCCAUACAUGAGGACUUUGUUACAGGACCUUAAUCGCCACUCUGCUGUUGUUCUUGAAGGAACAGCUAUAGAUGAUGAGCAGUUGAAAGACACACAAACUGUAGCAGAGGCACUUAUUCAGUCAAAGCAGGGACAUAAGACAGCUAAUGAAGAAGAUGAUGGCAAUGCAAGCCAGGAGAAAUUGAAUAGAAUUUCCAAAAUGAUGGAAAUUGAGGAUCUUCAAGGAUCAAAUGAUCUUCCUUUGGCACCUCUCUGCAUUAAGGAUCCACGGGACUAUUUUGAUUCUCAACAAGCUUGUGCAUUUAAAACUUCAAGAGACACAACUAUUGGAACAGAAGCAGUGAGCACUCGGGAAGCUUAUGGUUCUUUGAGGGACUCCAUUUCUCAGAUUAAAGUUAUGGGAUUGAAUGAUCCCAUAAUUAAACCUGAAGUUGCUAUGAAGGUUCUUUCUGUAUUGACACAUAAUAUCUCAAGCACUAAAUAUCAUCUUGGAAAGAAUCCUAGGGAGAGUGUUUUGGAUGGUUUCCCAAACAAAAUAAAGGAGGAUUUGCUGCAUCAUUGGAUGUCUAUUGAGGAGUUGCUGAGACAUUACUGGUCAUCAUAUCCAGUCACUACUGCAUAUCUUUAUGCCAAGGUAAAUAGACUGAAGGAUGCAAUGUCAAAAAUUGAUUCUCAGCUACAGCUUUGUCGAAUCAUGAAUGCAAUGUACAAAGAGGACUAACUAUUUGUGAAAUGAAAGUUGAUCAUGUGUCUUGGUUGCUUCUUGUAAGUCUAGCUCCACUUCAAAGGCACCUUGUGGGUAUGAAGCAUUUUUGCCCAAUACCCAACCGAUGUGGGACUUAACACACCCCCCUGACGCCUAGGAUUAAACGUCUGGAGUGUGAAGUUUGCAGGAGUAGACAUUUGUGGGUGACCUAACAUUGAGACUGGUUGGCUCUGAUACCAUGUUAAUAAAAUGGAUCGAGUCUAAUUCCAACCAAAAGGCACCUUGUGGGGGGAGGAUUGCUCAAGUCAUAUGUGGAGCAUUUUUGCCCAAUAACCAGCCAAUGUGGGUAGGGGUGAGUAGAUUUCAGUUUUAACCGAAAAACCAAAUGGAAUUGAUUUAAUUCAAUUUUUCGGUUUGUUUAUUUGUUUUAUCAGUUCAGUUUCGUUUAUUGAUUUAAAAAAAAGGUUAAUUUAGUUCCCUCUACAUAUAUAUAUAUAUAUUAUCAUUCUCAUUUAUUCAUUCUGCCACAACCAUUGCCCAAAACUGUGUUCUUCCUCAGAGUGAAAUUAAACUCUUCCUCACUCCUUGCAAGGCAGAAUCCAUGCCUUCUUCUCCUUCUUCAUAGCCUUCCUUGCGCAGAGAUCUAGAUGACAAGAGCCUCUCUCAACCACACUCAAUGGCUCCACCUACACACCUCCAUCUCCAGCCUCAAGUAGUCAUCAAUGUCAGGGGAUGACCUUGGAAAACAAAGUGACCCAGUUUGCUGUGCCAUUGACAUAGAUCCAUUGAAUCUCCAACAUGUGCUGUUUUGCUUAUCCCCAUCUGGGCAACAAAUCCCAACUAACGGAGAUGAAGGAAUCUGUGCAGUCAGAUCUUCGAAAUCAGCUUACACUCCUUAUACGUCCAAUGCAACAGGCUCUGGAGGCAGCCAUGCAACAUCAUGAUGCAGACUUGCAAAAGAGAUUAGCAAAGAGUGGAGAG